rnacentral:rRNA from 2 species
AGAGUUUGAUCAUGGCUCAGAUUGAACGCUGGCGGCAGGCCUAACACAUGCAAGUCGAGCGGUAGCACAGAGAGCUUGCUCUCGGGUGACGAGCGGCGGACGGGUGAGUAAUGUCUGGGAAACUGCCUGAUGGAGGGGGAUAACUACUGGAAACGGUAGCUAAUACCGCAUAACGUCGCAAGACCAAAGUGGGGGACCUUCGGGCCUCAUGCCAUCAGAUGUGCCCAGAUGGGAUUAGCUAGUAGGUGGGGUAACGGCUCACCUAGGCGACGAUCCCUAGCUGGUCUGAGAGGAUGACCAGCCACACUGGAACUGAGACACGGUCCAGACUCCUACGGGAGGCAGCAGUGGGGAAUAUUGCACAAUGGGCGCAAGCCUGAUGCAGCCAUGCCGCGUGUGUGAAGAAGGCCUUCGGGUUGUAAAGCACUUUCAGCGGGGAGGAAGGCGNNCGAUUGACGUUACCCGCAGAAGAAGCACCGGCUAACUCCGUGCCAGCAGCCGCGGUAAUACGGAGGGUGCAAGCGUUAAUCGGAAUUACUGGGCGUAAAGCGCACGCAGGCGGUCUGUCAAGUCGGAUGUGAAAUCCCCGGGCUCAACCUGGGAACUGCAUUCGAAACUGGCAGGCUAGAGUCUUGUAGAGGGGGGUAGAAUUCCAGGUGUAGCGGUGAAAUGCGUAGAGAUCUGGAGGAAUACCGGUGGCGAAGGCGGCCCCCUGGACAAAGACUGACGCUCAGGUGCGAAAGCGUGGGGAGCAAACAGGAUUAGAUACCCUGGUAGUCCACGCCGUAAACGAUGUCGAUUUGGAGGUUGUGCCCUUGAGGCGUGGCUUCCGGAGCUAACGCGUUAAAUCGACCGCCUGGGGAGUACGGCCGCAAGGUUAAAACUCAAAUGAAUUGACGGGGGCCCGCACAAGCGGUGGAGCAUGUGGUUUAAUUCGAUGCAACGCGAAGAACCUUACCUGGUCUUGACAUCCACAGAACUUUCCAGAGAUGGAUUGGUGCCUUCGGGAACUGUGAGACAGGUGCUGCAUGGCUGUCGUCAGCUCGUGUUGUGAAAUGUUGGGUUAAGUCCCGCAACGAGCGCAACCCUUAUCCUUUGUUGCCAGCGGUUAGGCCGGGAACUCAAAGGAGACUGCCAGUGAUAAACUGGAGGAAGGUGGGGAUGACGUCAAGUCAUCAUGGCCCUUACGACCAGGGCUACACACGUGCUACAAUGGCAUAUACAAAGAGAAGCGACCUCGCGAGAGCAAGCGGACCUCAUAAAGUAUGUCGUAGUCCGGAUUGGAGUCUGCAACUCGACUCCAUGAAGUCGGAAUCGCUAGUAAUCGUAGAUCAGAAUGCUACGGUGAAUACGUUCCCGGGCCUUGUACACACCGCCCGUCACACCAUGGGAGUGGGUUGCAAAAGAAGUAGGUAGCUUAACCUUCGGGAGGGCGCUUACCACUUUGUGAUUCAUGACUGGGGUGAAGUCGUAACAAGGUAACCGUAGGGGAACCUGCGGUUG